rnacentral:rRNA from 1 species
CCAAUAGCGUAUAUUAAAGUUGUUGCAGUUAAAAAGCUCGUAGUUGAAUUUCGGGAUCAAAUUGUCGGUCGUGCCUCGGUACGCACUGGUAUUAUUGGUUCCUACCUUCUGACGAACCGCGAUGUCAUUAAUUUGGUGUCGUGGGGAAUCAGGACUGUUACUUUGAAAAAAUUAGAGUGUUUAAAGCAGGCUUACGCUUGAAUACAUUAGCGUGGAAUAAUGAAAUAGGACGUUUGAUUCUAUUUUGUUGGUUUCUAGGAUUGACGUAAUGAUUAAUAGGGAUAGUUGGGGGCAUUAGUAUUCAAUUGUCAGAGGUGAAAUUCUUGGAUUUAUUGAAGACUAACUACUGCGAAAGCAUUUGCCAAGGAUGUUUUCAUUAAUCAAGAACGAAAGUUAGGGGAUCGAAGACGAUCAGAUACCGUCGUAGUCUUAACCAUAAACUAUGCCGACUAGGGAUCGGAUGAUGUUAAUUUUUUAAUGACUCAUUCGGCGCCUUACG